GAUGAACGCUGGCGGCGUGCUUAACACAUGCGAGUCGAACGGUGAACACGGAGCUUGCUCUGUGGGAUCAGUGGCGAACGGGUGAGUAACACGUGAGCAACCUGCCCCUGACUCUGGGAUAAGCGCUGGAAACGGCGUCUAAUACUGGAUAUGUGACGUGACCGCAUGGUCUGCGUUUGGAAAGAUUUUUCGGUUGGGGAUGGGCUCGCGGCCUAUCAGCUUGUUGGUGAGGUAAUGGCUCACCAAGGCGUCGACGGGUAGCCGGCCUGAGAGGGUGACCGGCCACACUGGGACUGAGACACGGCCCAGACUCCUACGGGAGGCAGCAGUGGGGAAUAUUGCACGAUGGGCGCAAGCCUGAUGCAGCAACGCCGCGUGAGGGAUGACGGCCUUCGGGUUGUAAACCUCUUUUAGCAGGGAAGAAGCGAAAGUGACGGUACCUGCAGAAAAAGCGCCGGCUAACUACGUG
rnacentral:rRNA from 1 species